rnacentral:rRNA from 1 species
CCAAUAGCGUAUAUUAAAGUUGUUGCAGUUAAAAAGCUCGUAGUUGAAUUUCGGGAUUAGUAAGUUGGUCGUGCCUUUGGUAUGUACUGGCUUUACUGGUUCCUCCUUCUUGAAGAACUGUAAUGUCAUUAAUUUGGUGUUGCAGGGAAACAGGACUGUUACUUUGAAAAAAUUAGAGUGUUUAAAGCAGGCUAACGCCUGAAUACAUUAGCAUGGAAUAAUGAAAUAGGACGUUUGAUCCUAUUUUGUUGGUUUCUAGGAUUGACGUAAUGAUUAAUAGGGAUAGUUGGGGGCAUUAGUAUUCAAUUGUCAGAGGUGAAAUUCUUGGAUUUAUUGAAGACUAACUACUGCGAAAGCAUUUGCCAAGGAUGUUUUCAUUAAUCAAGAACGAAAGUUAGGGGAUCGAAGACGAUCAGAUACCGUCGUAGUCUUAACCAUAAACUAUGCCGACUAGGGAUCGGAUGAUGUUAAUUUUUUAAUGACUCAUUCGGCGCCUUACG